UUCAGAUCUGACAAGCUUGUGGCAGGUGCUGCUCAGUCUGCACCUCUAGUACCCUUACAAGAGCCAGAUGUUUCAUCCUUGGGGGAGUCUUUUGACACCACAUCAUCACAAGAUUUGAUUACUGCCAGUCAUAACAUCAUUGAUGAUGGCUCAUCUAGCACUUGCCCGUCCAGAAUUGACAAGCCUGUGGCAGAUGCUACACUGUCCACAUCUCUGCAAGAUAUGGCCCUUUCGCUCUUGGACGAAAUUUUCGAUGAUAAUCCACGAACGGUGCCAGAUAACACCACCACUGAUGGCUAUCUGCAAUCAGCUUCCUCAUCUGUUGGGUCUAGCAUUUUGGUCCGCAGUUUUGUAAAUUGCUACCAGCUGUUCUACAUUAGAAUAGACCCCAGGGGCUCUUGCUGGACUUACCCUGAUGUGGGUGGACCGUUUCAGAGAGUAGAUGAAGCUGACGAUGCUAUCAAGUGCUUUCUUGAUGAACUGCAGCAUGGAGCAAGGUGCACACAAUCAGGUGAAUUUUCCCGUGUGGAUAGGAUGAUACAUGAUUGUAAACACUAUCUUUAUGGUCCACCAAAGAGAGAUCCCAGUUCUCCGAGUAGCAAGACUACCUAUGAUGAAAAGCAAUACUUGGUUCAAGCUAUAUUGGACCAGUAUAAUGAUGACAACAAACUUUUUGGGAAUCAUGCAUAUGAACUUGAAGAUCUUGUGAGUAGGCAAUUAUUUUGUGAGAAUUGUAUGUGGUAUUGUCAUUUCAAUUUCACAGCAAAACAAAAGGGAGCUGACGAUAGCAGUGGCAAACUAUUCUUUGCUGAAGUGACACAUGUGCAAAGAAGAAUGGCCUGGAAAUGGUUCAAGGUCUAUGGGUCCUUUCACAACCCUAUUUAACCCUCAAAUA
rnacentral:lncRNA from 1 species